rnacentral:tRNA from 1 species
GGGGAUAUGGCUCAGUUGGGAGAGCGCCUCGUUCGCAACGAGGAGGCCAGCGGUUCGAAUCCGCUUAUCUCCACCA